AGAGUUUGAUCCUGGCUCAGGACGAACGCUGGCGGCGUGCUUAACACAUGCAAGUCGAACGAGACGAUUGAAAGCUUGCUUUUGAAAGUCGAGUGGCAAACGGGUGAGUAACGCGUAGACAACCUGCCGUAAAGAUGGGGACAACAGUCCGAAAGGACUGCUAAUACCGAAUGUUGUAAAUCUUCCGCAUGGAAGACUUACUAAAGGUGGCCUCUACUUGUAAGCUAUCGCUUUACGAUGGGUCUGCGUCUGAUUAGCUGGUUGGUGGGGUAACGGCCUACCAAGGCGACGAUCAGUAGCCGGUCUGAGAGGAUGAACGGCCACAUUGGAACUGAGACACGGUCCAGACUCCUACGGGAGGCAGCAGUGGGGAAUCUUCCGCAAUGGGCGCAAGCCUGACGGAGCAACGCCGCGUGAGUGAAGAAGGGUUUCGACUCGUAAAGCUCUGUUGUCGGGGACGAACGUGGAGACGGCAAAUAGUCGUUUCCAAUGACGGUACCUGACGAGGAAGCCACGGCUAACUACGUGCCAGCAGCCGCGGUAAUACGUAGGUGGCGAGCGUUGUCCGGAAUUAUUGGGCGUAAAGGGAGCGCAGGCGGGAAGGUAAGUCUAUCUUAAAAGUGCGGGGCUCAACCCCGUGAGGGGAUGGAAACUAUCUUUCUUGAGUGCAGGAGAGGAAAGCGGAAUUCCUAGUGUAGCGGUGAAAUGCGUAGAUAUUAGGAGGAACACCAGUGGCGAAGGCGGCUUUCUGGACUGUAACUGACGCUGAGGCUCGAAAGCGUGGGGAGCGAACAGGAUUAGAUACCCUGGUAGUCCACGCCGUAAACGAUGAAUGCUAGGUGUAGGAGGUAUCGACCCCUUCUGUGCCGGAGUUAACGCAAUAAGCAUUCCGCCUGGGGAGUACGGCCGCAAGGCUGAAACUCAAAGGAAUUGACGGGGGCCCGCACAAGCGGUGGAGUAUGUGGUUUAAUUCGACGCAACGCGAAGAACCUUACCAGGGCUUGACAUUGAGUGAAAGGACAAGAGAUAGUCCCCUCUCUUCGGAGACACGAAAACAGGUGGUGCAUGGCUGUCGUCAGCUCGUGUCGUGAGAUGUUGGGUUAAGUCCCGCAACGAGCGCAACCCUUAUCCUUUGUUGCCAGCACGUUAUGGUGGGAACUCAAAGGAGACUGCC
rnacentral:rRNA from 1 species